rnacentral:piRNA from 1 species
UGAUCUCCUUUUGUUGUCGGAUUGCU